GCCUCUCAUAAGAUGGGUACCUACUGGGUUGCAUCCUCAGUAAAUCUAGCAUCAAAAGGAGCAGAUGGAUGAGAGUGUGCUGAAGCAGAAGCAGCAGCUCCUGAGCCAUGCUGCAACUCAAUUACAAGCCAUCUCACAGCUUUGCUCAUCUGUUCCAACCGAACAGCACUGAUCGGAGGAAGGCCAGUGGUGGUGGCCUGCCCAGACUUGCCAGCCAGUGAACCAGUGGCCUCAUCAACAAGGCAUUCUGAUCCUAUCCUUUG
rnacentral:misc_RNA from 1 species